ensembl:lncRNA
AUGACUUCAUGUUGAAAUAUUUGGGCCAGUUGGUUUCUGAUUGUGAUUUUGGGGGCUAAGACCAAAUGCGACUGUAGAGGGAGGCGCCGAGUUCAAGACGGAACUUUUCUUUGGUGAAUUUUCUUUCUUUUUUUGGGACGGCGAUCGACAAUUCUUCUAAACCGCUUCAGUUAGCCGGAGAGGGCUGCUGAGCUGCACCACCGUCACCUUCAGGCUGAGCGGGUGAAGGCUCCUGAAGUUUGCGGAUGACACCACCCUCCUUGGACUGAUCUCUGGUGGGGUGAUUGAGUCCGCCUACAGGUGCGAGGUCUGACCUUCUGGCGCAGCCAGAACAACAUCAACGCUCUGAAGACAGUGGAGAUGGUUGUGGAUUUCAGAAAGAACGCAGUCCCACGUUGAGCUGAACAUCAGCUCCAUCACCACAAAGGCUCAGCAGAGGUUGUUCUUCCUGAGGCAGCUGAAGAAAUUCAACCUGCCAAAGACGAUGAUGGUGCACCAACCGAGGACGAGGGCAGGAUGCAAAUCUGCCGUCCCUGCAGGACUUGUUCGCUUCCAGGUCUCUGAAGCGAGCUAGAAAGAUGGUAGCCGACCCCUCUCACCCCGGACCAAAACCUGUUUGUGCCCCUUCCAUCUGGCAGGAGGCUGAGGUCCAUCAGGACUAAGACCUCCCGCCACACCAACAGUUUCUUCCCGUCGGCAGUCGGGCUCAUCAACAGAGCCGGUCCCCCACUGACUGACUCUGACGUCCCACCGGUCACUCCCUUCACACACCUGUCACAUGUCACUUACACUCAUUUUACAGUCCGAGAGACGUCAGAUGUCGAGAAGAACUUGUCGGAGACGCCCCUGUUUGCUGCCCGGGAAGACAUCCUGUUGUCCCGACCACCUGAAACGUCUGCGCCGAUGAGACGUUUGGCCUCCUGUCAUCUUCCUGCUCCCUGCUGCCUUUGAGCAAGGCGCCUGACCUUUGAACAGAACCCCCUGACCGAGUUCUACACUCAAUACUCUGUAGGAAACGCUGCGAGUCGUCUCUCUGUGGGAAAAGGAACCGCCACUUUUUUUUUCCUUUCUGGCGCCUCUCGAAACAGGAAAUGGUUCAGCCUCAAAUCAAACUGUGAGAGGUGCAGAGGUCAAAGGUGAAGGACGCCCUGAGGAGUGCUUGUUUGUAUACAUGAUGUACUUUACCUUUCCUCUUGAAAGGUCAGCACUGUUAAAUAUCACAAAGAGACUCGUGGUCGUCUUGUGUCUUGUGUUCAAGGACACCAGAGAAGCAGGAAAGUUUGUGCGUAC